AUUGAACGCUGGCGGCAGGCCUAACACAUGCAAGUCGAACGGUAACAGGAAGAAGCUUGCUUCUUUGCUGACGAGUGGCGGACGGGUGAGUAAUGUCUGGGAAACUGCCUGAUGGAGGGGGAUAACUACUGGAAACGGUUGCUAAUACCGCAUAACGUCGCAAGACCAAAGAGGGGGACCUUCGGGCCUCUUGCCAUCGGAUGUGCCCAGAUGGGAUUAGCUAGUAGGUGGGGUAACGGCUCACCUAGGCGACGAUCCCUAGCUGGUCUGAGAGGAUGACCAGCCACACUGGAACUGAGACACGGUCCAGACUCCUACGGGAGGCAGCAGUGGGGAAUAUUGCACAAUGGGCGCAAGCCUGAUGCAGCCAUGCCGCGUGUAUGAAGAAGGCCUUCGGGUUGUAAAGUACUUUCAGCGGGGAGGAAGGGAGUAAAGUUAAUACCUUUGCUCAUUGACGUUACCCGCAGAAGAAGCACCGGCUAACUCCGUG
rnacentral:rRNA from 1 species